rnacentral:rRNA from 1 species
GAGGAAUAUUGGUCAAUGGGCGAGAGCCUGAACCAGCCAAGUAGCGUGCAGGAAGACGGCCCUAUGGGUUGUAAACUGCUUUUAUAGGGGAAUAAAGUGAUCCACGUGUGGAUUAUUGUAUGUACCCUAUGAAUAAGGACCGGCUAAUUCCGUGCCAGCAGCCGCGGUAAUACGGAAGGUUCGGGCGUUAUCCGGAUUUAUUGGGUUUAAAGGGAGCGUAGGCCGUAGAUUAAGCGUGUUGUGAAAUGUAGAUGCUCAACAUCUGACUUGCAGCGCGAACUGGUUUACUUGAGUGUGCGCAACGUAGGCGGAAUUCGUCGUGUAGCGGUGAAAUGCUUAGAUAUGACGAAGAACUCCGAUUGCGAAGGCAGCUUACGGGAGCACAACUGACGCUGAAGCUCGAAGGUGCGGGUAUCAAACAGGAUUAGAUACCCUGGUAGUCCGCACAGUAAACGCUGGAUGCCCGCUGUUGGUUCAUUAGAGUCAGCGGCCAAGCGAAAGCAUUAAGCAUCCCACCUGGGGAGUACGCCGGCAACGGUG